rnacentral:lncRNA from 1 species
CAAAACUCCAAUUUCCUAAACAACCUUAGGAAAGUAAUUUCUCAAUUAAACUUCAGAGGCUACUGUAGGGAUGAUUUCCACCGAACUCCAAGUACAAAAUCGGGCUCAGUUUACCAAUUCAUCGACACCACCAAGGUUGAGACAACUCCAAAACCACCACCACCACCGCCCCACUCCAGUUGCUAUAGGUUGGGGAAGGUGAAGUCCAAUGAUGUGCCCACUAAGAAGUGAAGUAAAGCAAGCCGAGAAGAAAGUCUCACAAAGAGAAAGGAAAUAGGCACACACCAUGGAGACCGAGAGGAAGACGGGAUUAUAUGCCAAGUAAAUGUCCAAAAUAGGUAAGUUAGGUUAGGAUUAAAUUGUGGACCAAAACAAGGCUCGACUCAAUUAAAGUGGGCUUCAAAUUAAUAAUAUAGUCUUCCAAGGAAAUGGGGCGAACCGUGAGCAACACAUUUAAAAUAGGUUGCUUCGAACGGUCCAUAAAAAUGUGGAUUGUGUUGUCUCAAUAAUUGUGUCGAUGUACUAGUCAAUCACAUGGCCAAGGCUGAUUAAUAAUAAAACCGAGGUUACAUCAUAGCCCGGGGAGGUCGUUUGACAACAAAUUGCCUAACAGCUACAAAUAUUGAGAGAUGUUAGACUACAAGAGCAGAAAUAGUAGAGAACUGUUCAUUUUUGAGAUCCACUUGGACGAGACAAUUAUUGGAGAUUGGAAGUUGUUGGUUUUUAGCAGGAUCUUUGACGUUACAAGAAGUAGAUCGGGAUGUCUACUGGAGUUCGGGAGGCAGCGUCUAUCUAUAAAUUCAUAUUGUCUAUAGUGGAGAUAACUGGCUUGGUCCCUGAGUUUUUAUCCAAUUGGGUUUCUUAGUCAACAUAUGUGUGUUAUUUAUUGUUUUCAUAUUAUAAACUGUGGCAAUUCAACUUAAAAUAAUUGAUCAGUUUGAUUAACCAUUCAUAAACAAUUAAAAAGUGACUUAUUGCUUUUGAUUUUGUUAAUUCUACAUGUAAGGUCAAACUAAAUCAAUUAAUUAGAACUUUCAGUUGGUUUCAGAGCCUAAAUUCGAUUCUUGGCCUCACUAUCUAUCCCAUCAUAUUUUGAUGUUAGUAAUUAUGUAUACUUGAAGGUUAGAAAGAGAUCCUUUUUAAAAUUUAUGGAUGAAUGCAUCUGGUUGAGUGUUGUUAAUUGUUGGGCUACCCCUAGUUCUACGAUUAAUAAUGUAGUAAUCUCUCCUCUUAUUGCAAAUUGGACCAAAACAAACCCAGGAAAAUGUAAUUGGGAUAACAAAGCUUUGCAUGCAUUGUUUAUGGCCAUGUCCCUUGAAGAGUCUAGGCGAGUGUCCAUGUAUGAGGUAGCUAAAGAGGCUUGGAAUAUUUUACAGGCCACAUAUAAGAGAACUCAGGCUAUUAAGAACUUUAAAUUGUAGAUACUGAUCAUUAGGUUUGAAGAGAUUUUGAUUGAAGGGGACAAGACCUUUGAUGAAUUCUAUGUGAGCCGAAAUGACAUAGUUAAUUCUAGCUUCAACCUAGGUGCGAGAAUCUUGAAGCCUAUGAUAGUCAGAAAAUUCAUUAGAUCCUUAUCUAAAUGAUUUAGGCCUAAAAUCAUGGUUAUUGAAGAAAGUAAGGAUAUGGACUCUAUUAAGGUCGUUGGAUCUUACCAAACUUAUGAACUGACAUUAGCUAGACCCACAAAUGAUAAGUCUUAGGCCUUAAGCAUUAUGAGGAGUAGUCGUAGAGAGUCAUCAAAUUCAGAUUCCACUAAUGAAGAGGAGUUAGGAUUAGAAGUGGAUCUGAUAAGGGGAGCAACAUGACUAAGGACAUAGAUAGUGCUGAAGAAUCAGAGGAAGAUUCUGAUACUGAGGGAGAUAUUCAUGAAUCUUAUGAUAGAACCUAUGAGGAUGGCAUUAGGAUUCUCACCACAAAUAAAGCCUUAGGUGCGAAGGUUAAAGAACUCGAGUUGGAGAAAGAUAAAUUGUUAGCUUGGCUUCAAGAAUCUAUCUCAACCUCGAGUGAGUUGAAAUCCAUGAACGAAUCUUUAGAGAUACUCAGGUUAAGGAUCUCACAAGUGAGCAUGAGAAGAUCUUUAGGAGAGCUAGUGAGCUGACAAUUGAAAAUGAAACUUUAGAAAUUCAGGUUAAGAAUCUUUUGUGCAAAAUUGAGUUUUCCAAGUCCCAACUUCUUGUCUUUUCUAACCUCUAUGAAUGGUUGUCGCCUACUGGUGACAAGGGCAGUCUAGGAUAUAAGAAGAAAUAUCAUAAUAUUGCUAGUACGUUCAUGACCACAUUUGUCCCUCCUACUGAUCAGCAUAAACAUGUGUCUAACCCUGAUCCUAAGAAAAAGGAAUUUGUAGGAUAGAGGCCUACUAAACAGCAAAGGACCCGCCAAUCUAAGAAUAGAAAUCAACGAUCUCAACUAUGUUCCUAGGUUUAUCCCUACAUAUUUUCAUUGUGGUGAGUUAAGACACAUAAGACCUAGGAGUUAUAAAUUCCUGAACUUAAAUAGAACAAAACUUCAAUAGAAAUAAGAAUCAAGAGUUUGUUUGUAAGAUUUACUUCCUUACUAAUCAGGUGAGUUGGUGACCAAUAUGAUUACACAAAUGACUAAAAAUAUUCCUAUCACUAGGUACUUUUGGGUGAAGUGAUUUAAAAAAUCUUGAAAUAGAUCAUGAUACUCUUAAAGAUAAGAACGUUUCACACCUAACUAAUUAUGUAUUUCUGGUGAAUGCAAGUACUUUAUCAUUAUGUGUUAUUGAUUUAUGUAUGCAUCAUAUUUUUUAUUUGUUUUCUAAGUAGAAGUCUUAUGUCCAUUUUUUGUGUGUUUAACAUUUUCUUGUGUUCUUGGUGCAUUCAAAUUUUUAAAAUAAAAACAACAAAAAAUUUUGAAAAUUGAAAAAUACAAAGAAAAUGGGAAAAGGGAACAGAAAAUUGUUUUUACAACAUGAUGUAUAAUAUACUUGAAUUUGUUUGUUGUUAUCAAGUAUUGGUUGAAUGGAAGAGUUGUAGCAUAUUGCUUGCUUAGGUUAUUAUAGAAUACUUAGUAUAUGUGUUUUCAUGUACAAUCUGCACUGCACACAUUAUGAUAUUGUUAAUGGGGCCCAACUGCAUUUGUGAGAUUUUAGAUGACAGUCACAUGUUAGUAAGGUGAUUUUGAACAUGAAUUAACAUUAUUAUUAGACCUAAGCUCAACUUUAAUCCCUAUAAUAAAAAGCUCAAUAUCUUAUGUUAUUCUUUGGAGCAUAUUUGACUCGAACAAUUAAGUCUUUGGGGUUUUUCAUAACUUGGUGCGAGCCAAUGGUCAACUAACUUGGGUUAACGGGACUAAAACUUGCUACAGGUUCAUCUUAUUCUUUUAAUGGAGAAGGACCAGUACUUAAGAUGUAAAAAUAUGAUAAGAUUAAAAAAUAUUGAAUGAUAUGAAAAAUUUAUGUAUGCUCAAAAUCAAGGAGAGAAAAAGAAAAUAUCCAUACAAAUUGAGCUUUUAUUUGAAGGUCCUAGUGUGCUUUAAAUGGUUUGACUUUCAUAAAAAAAAAAAAAAAAAAAAAACUUAUUGACAAUGAUGUUUAAUAUGUCAUUUAUCAUAAAAUUAAGGUAUGAAGUCGUGUUUACAAAGGAUUAAUGACGCUUUACACACAUGGAUCACUUAUAUAUUUUAUUCCAUGUUAACUUGAGUUGUGCAUGUGGGAAG